rnacentral:rRNA from 1 species
AUUGAACGCUGGCGGCAGGCUUAACACAUGCAAGUCGAGCGGGGAAAAGUAGCUUGCUACUUAACCUAGCGGCGGACGGGUGAGUAAUGCUUAGGAAUCUGCCUAUUAGUGGGGGACAACAUCUCGAAAGGGAUGCUAAUACCGCAUACGUCCUACGGGAGAAAGCAGGGGACCUUCGGGCCUUGCGCUAAUAGAUGAGCCUAAGUCGGAUUAGCUAGUUGGUGGGGUAAAGGCCUACCAAGGCGACGAUCUGUAGCGGGUCUGAGAGGAUGAUCCGCCACACUGGGACUGAGACACGGCCCAGACUCCUACGGGAGGCAGCAGUGGGGAAUAUUGGACAAUGGGGGGAACCCUGAUCCAGCCAUGCCGCGUGUGUGAAGAAGGCCUUUCGGUUGUAAAGCACUUUAAGCGAGGAGGAGGCUACCGAGAUUAAUACUCUUGGAUAGUGGACGUUACUCGCAGAAUAAGCACCGGCUAACUCUGUGCCAGCAGCCGCGGUAACAC